rnacentral:tRNA from 1 species
CGGGACGUAGCGCAGUCUGGUAGCGCACUGCAAUGGGGUUGCAGGGGUCGCGGGUUCAAAUCCCGCCGUCCCGAUCA